CGUGGGAAACCGCGGCCAGAGAGGCAAAGACUAACAUCAAAGCAGCGAAGAAAAUAAAUGCGGCAGAACGGCGGCAUAAGGCGCCCUUGUCAGCUGCAAUUUUCCUGGAAAAUAAAAACAAUAUGCACAUGGGCCGUGGUCGUUGGCAGAGUGUACUAGCAUCGACAAUUCCUUCGUGGGACCUACUAUGUAGAAAUCUUCGUUCCUGAGUCAGGAACGCGCACCUGUGGCGGACCUGCUCGGCGAGGAUGACGCCAGAGGCACCGAAGUCAAACAGGCUGCGAAAUCGACCUGAGGAACGUUAACAGCGAAUUCGCAGGGAGGAAAUGAAAAUUCAAGAAAUUAUCUUGUUCAACGGAGAUUAGAAGAAGAAAGCUAUUA